rnacentral:rRNA from 1 species
GGCGAACGGGUGAGUAAUGUAUCGGAACGUACCUUUCAGUGGGGGAUAACGUAGCGAAAGUUACGCUAAUACCGCAUAUUCUGUGAGCAGGAAAGCAGGGGAUCGCAAGACCUUGCGCUGAUUGAGCGGCCGAUAUCAGAUUAGCUAGUUGGUGAGGUAAAGGCUCACCAAGGCGACGAUCUGUAGCGGGUCUGAGAGGAUGAUCCGCCACACUGGAACUGAGACACGGUCCAGACUCCUACGGGAGGCAGCAGUGGGGAAUUUUGGACAAUGGGGGCAACCCUGAUCCAGCCAUGCCGCGUGAGUGAAGAAGGCCUUCGGGUUGUAAAGCUCUUUCAGCCGGGAAGAAAACGCAUGGGUUAAUACCCUGUGUGGAUGACGGUACCGGAAUAAGAAGCACCGGCUAACUACGUGCCAGCAGCCGCGGUAAUACGUAGGGUGCGAGCGUUAAUCGGAAUUACUGGGCGUAAAGCGUGCGCAGGCGGUUUGUUAAGAUAGGCGUGAAAUCCCCGGGCUCAACCUGGGAACUGCGUUUAUGACUGGCAGGCUAGAGUAUGGCAGAGGGGGGUGGAAUUCCACGUGUAGCAGUGAAAUGCGUAGAGAUGUGGAGGAACACCGAUGGCGAAGGCAGCCCCCUGGGCCAAUACUGACGCUCAUGCACGAAAGCGUGGGUAGCAAACAGGAUUAGAUACCCUGGUAGUCCACGCCCUAAACGAUGUCAACUAGGUGUUGGGUGGGUAAAACCAUUUAGUACCGGAGCUAACGCGUGAAGUUGACCGCCUGGGGAGUACGGCCGCAAGGUUAAAACUCAAAGGAAUUGACGGGGACCCGCACAAGCGGUGGAUGAUGUGGAUUAAUUCGAUGCAACGCGAAAAACCUUACCUACCCUUGACAUGUCCAGGAGCUCUUAGAGAUUUGAGUGUGCCCGAAAGGGAACUGGAACACAGGUGCUGCAUGGCUGUCGUCAGCUCGUGUCGUGAGAUGUUGGGUUAAGUCCCGCAACGAGCGCAACCCUUGUCGUUAAUUGCCAUCAUUUAGUUGGGCACUUUAACGAGACUGCCGGUGACAAACCGGAGGAAGGUGGGGAUGACGUCAAGUCCUCAUGGCCCUUAUGGGUAGGGCUUCACACGUCAUACAAUGGUCGGUACAAAGGGUUGCCAACCCGCGAGGGGGAGCUAAUCCCAGAAAGCCGAUCGUAGUCCGGAUCGUAGGCUGCAACUCGCCUGCGUGAAGUCGGAAUCGCUAGUAAUCGUGGAUCAGCAUGUCACGGUGAAUACGUUCCCGGGUCUUGUACACACCGCCCGUCACACCAUGGGAGCGGGUUCCGCCAGAAGUAGGUAGCCUAACCGCAAGGAGGGCGCUUACCACGGCGGGGUUCGUGACUGAGGUGAAGUCGAAACAAGGUA